GACGAACGCUGGCGGCGUGCCUAAUACAUGCAAGUUGAGCGCUGAAGGUUGGUACUUGUACCAACUGGAUGAGCAGCGAACGGGUGAGUAACGCGUGGGGAAUCUGCCUUUGAGCGGGGGACAACAUUUGGAAACGAAUGCUAAUACCGCAUAAAAACUUUAAACACAAGUUUUAAGUUUGAAAGAUGCAAUUGCAUCACUCAAAGAUGAUCCCGCGUUGUAUUAGCUAGUUGGUGAGGUAAAGGCUCACCAAGGCGAUGAUACAUAGCCGACCUGAGAGGGUGAUCGGCCACAUUGGGACUGAGACACGGCCCAAACGGCUACGGGAGGCAGCAGUAGGGAAUCUUCGGCAAUGGAGGAAAGUCUGACCGAGCAACGCCGCGUGAGGGAAGAAGGUUUUCGGAUCGUAAAACUCGGUUGGUAGAGAAGAACGUUGGUGAGAGUGGAAAGCGCAUCAAGUGACGGUAACUACACAGAAAGGGACGGCUAACUACGUG
rnacentral:rRNA from 1 species